rnacentral:rRNA from 1 species
AACGAACGCUGGCGGCAGGCUUAAUACAUGCAAGUCGAGCGGUCUCUUUCGGGAGACAGCGGCGGACGGGUUAGUAACGCGUGGGAACGUGCCCUUUAGUACGGAAUAGCCAUUGGAAACGAUGAUUAAUACCGUAUACGCCCUUCGGGGAAAGAUUUAUCGCUAAAGGAUCGGCCCGCGUUAGAUUAGGUAGUUGGUGGGGUAAUGGCCUACCAAGCCUACGAUCUAUAGCUGGUUUGAGAGGAUGAUCAGCAACACUGGGACUGAGACACGGCCCAGACUUCUACGGAAGGCAGCAGUAGGGAAUCUUGGACAAUGGGCGAAAGCCUGAUCCAGCCAUGCCGCGUGAGUGAUGAAGGCCCUAGGGUUGUAAAAC